rnacentral:rRNA from 1 species
CUACGGGAGGCAGCAGUGGGGAAUAUUGCACAAUGGGCGAAAGCCUGAUGCAGCGACGCCGCGUGAGGGAUGAAGACCUUCGGGUUGUAAACCUCUUUCAGCAGGGAAGAAGCGAAAGUGACGGUACCUGCAGAAGAAGCACCGGCUAACUACGUGCCAGCAGCCGCGGUAAU